GAGGCCUACCAUGGUGGUAACGGGUAACGGGGUGUUAGGGCACGACACCGGAGAGGGAGCCUGAGAAACGGCUACCACAUCCAAGGAUGGCAGCAGGCGCGCAAAUUACCCAAUCCCGACACGGGGAGGUAGUGACAAUAAAUAACAAUACGGGGUUCUUUAGGAUCUCGUAAUUGGAAUGAGUACAAUUUAAAUCUCUUAACGAGGAACAAUUGGAGGGCAAGUCUGGUGCCAGCAGCCGCGGUAAUUCCAGCUCCAAUAGCGUAUAUUAAAGUUGUUGCAGUUAAAAAGCUCGUAGUUGAAUUUCGGGGUUAGUAGGUUGGUCAUGCCUCUGGUAUGUACUGGUCUCACUGAUUCCUCCUUCCUUAUGAACCGUAAUGCCAUUAAUUUGGUGUUGCGGGGAAUUUGGACUGUUACUUUGAAAAAAUUAGAGUGUUUAAAGCAAGCUAACGCUUGAAUACAUUAGCAUGGAAUAAUGAAAUAGGACGUUCGAUCUUAUUUUGUUGGUUUCUAGGAUUGACGUAAUGAUUAAUAGGGAUAGUUGGGGGCAUUAGUAUUCAAUUGUCAGAGGUGAAAUUCUUGGAUUUAUUGAAGACUAACUACUGCGAAAGCAUUUGCCAAGGAUGUUUUCAUUAAUCAAGAACGAAAGUUAGGGGAUCGAAGACGAUCAGAUACCGUCGUAGUCUUAACCAUAAACUAUGCCGACUAGGGAUCGGAUG
rnacentral:rRNA from 1 species